rnacentral:tRNA from 1 species
AGCGGUGUGCUCAUGGGAGAGCCGACAGUCUCCAAAGCUGUCUCACGAGGUUCGAAUCCUCGCACCGUUG